CCGAGUGAGGGCCCUCUGGGUCCAACCUCCCACCCAUGUUUAUUGUACCUUGUUGCUUCGGCGAGCCCGCCUCACGGCCGCCGGGGGGCUUCUGCCCUCUGGCCCGCGCCCGCCGAAGACACCAUUGAACACUGUCUGAAGAUUGCAGUCUGAGCAAUUAGCUAAAUAAGUUA
rnacentral:misc_RNA from 1 species